GACGAACCGUGCGAACGUUGUUCGGAAUCACUGGGCUUAAAGGGCGCGUAGGCGGGUUCUCAAGUCAGGGGUGAAAGCCCGCGGCUCAACCGCGGAAGCGCCUUUGAUACUGGGGACCUCGAGGGGGGUAGGGGCGUGCGGAACUUCCGGUGGAGCGGUGAAAUGCGUAGAUAUCGGAAGGAACACCGGUGGCGAAAGCGGCGCGCUGGACCCCUUCUGACGCUGAGGCGCGAAAGCCAGGGGAGCGAAUGGG
rnacentral:rRNA from 1 species